rnacentral:tRNA from 1 species
UGUAAUGUAGUUUAUGAAAAAUUCUUACUUUACACGUAAGAGAACCCUUGUGGGCUUUACUA